GGUUUAAGGAGCUGGUCUUGAAAACCAGUGAUUCCGAAAGGGACCGUGGGUUCGAAUCCCACCCUCUCCG
rnacentral:tRNA from 1 species